AUUGAACGCUGGCGGCAUGCCUUACACAUGCAAGUCGAACGGUAACAGGUCUUCGGAUGCUGACGAGUGGCGAACGGGUGAGUAAUGCAUCGGAACGUGCCUAGUAGUGGGGGAUAACUACUCGAAAGAGUGGCUAAUACCGCAUGAGAUCUACGGAUGAAAGCAGGGGAUCGCAAGACCUUGUGCUACUAGAGCGGCCGAUGGCAGAUUAGGUAGUUGGUGGGAUAAAAGCUUACCAAGCCGACGAUCUGUAGCUGGUCUGAGAGGACGAGCAGCCACACUGGGACUGAGACACGGCCCAGACUCCUACGGGAGUCAGCAGUGGGGAAUUUUGGACAAUGGGCGAAAGCCUGAUCCAGCAAUGCCGCGUGCAGGAUGAAGGCCUUCGGGUUGUAAACUGCUUUUGUACGGAACGAAAAGCCCUGGGUUAAUACCCUGGGGUCAUGACGGUACCGUAAGAAUAAGCACCGGCUAACUACGUUCCAGCCGCCGCAGUAA
rnacentral:rRNA from 1 species